rnacentral:rRNA from 1 species
UACGGAGGGUGCGAGCGUUGUCCGGAAUCACUGGGCGUAAAGGGCGCGUAGGCGGUCGGGUAAGCGUGUGGUGAAAGUCCGGGGCUCAACCCCGGAUCGGCCGUGCGAACUGCUCGACUUGAGCACUGUAGAGGCAGGUGGAAUUCCUGGUGUAGCGGUGGAAUGCGCAGAUAUCAGGAGGAACACCAAUAGCGAAGGCAGCUCGCUGGGACGGUAUUGACGCUGAGGCGCGAAAGCGUGGGGAGCAAACAGG